GCUAGGUGUGGUGGCGCGCACCUGUAAUCCCAGCUACUCAGGAGGCUGAGGCAGGAGAAUUGCUUGGGCCUGGGAGGCAGGGGUGUUGCAGGGAGUCAAGAUCGUGCCCCUGCACUCCAGCCUGGGCAACAGAGCAAGACUCUGUCCCCC
rfam:Gorilla gorilla gorilla genomic chromosome, chr6, whole genome shotgun sequence